rnacentral:lncRNA from 1 species
CUGGUGGGUUUUUCUUUUCCAUACAUCUUUUUUGUUUAUUUAAUUGCAAUUGGACUUUGUUUUUUCCUUCUUCUUUUUUCUAUAUUUUUUGUAUUAUAUUGACUGAAUGACCAGGUAUUUAAUAAUCAGUAUGUGUUAUUUAUAGCUCUGUUUCAUGUAUAAGAGAGGCAAAUUAUGUUAUAGAAGCCAACUCGUUUAUUUUUUCAGUUGGAAGAAUUUUAAUGGAGACAAUGUCUGUGAUAUGAAUUAACUAAGUUCAUGCUUGUCUGAGUGUUUUGAGAUUGUACAAAGUCCAUGAUUUGUCUUUAAUUCAAGAUGAAAUGCUUGUUUUAAGGUAGUUUUGCUUGUCGUAGCACUCGGAGGCUUACAUUUUUUUUUUUUGAUCACUUACACGGUUAGUUUCUGUUUUAUUCAUAAAUUUCUGUGCUUCCUCACUUGCGUCGUCAUUAACUCCUUCCAUGAUGUUUUCUUCUGUAAACGCACUUAUGUUUGCCUUUCACUAGUUUGAAGGACAUUUUUCAUUGAAAGAUCCAAAUGAAUUGAAAUUGCUGCUAUAAUGUAUUUGCUUUGCUGCUGAAGCAGGUCUGUGUAAAUAAACUAGAAAAGUCUUAAAGUGUUGUUGUACCCAUAUACUUCAGUCCAGCUGGCUUCCUAGCUGCAGAAAAUCUCAAGCUUUUUCAUUCUUGACUGUCAGGUUCUUGUGUUUAUUAUAUUGGUUGGAAGCAGAUGGUUAGUUCAGUGUGAAUUCUUGGCAUUUGGUUAUGUGGAAGUUCUGGACAUUUGUUGAUUUAUUUGUUUGCGUGGUUGAUUUUCAAAAUACUUCAUUUUUUUUUUUUUUUUUUUUUAAAAAUCCAAAAUUUCUAGUGGUAUUUAUUUAUAUAUUUUUGGAUUGAUGCGCCAAGAUAAUUGUUGACAAAUUAGUUAAUUUUGCUUGCUAUGGAAGCGAUACCGCACCCUAUACCUAGAACUGUAGAGGAGGUUUUCAGCGAUUUUAAGGGCAGACGGGCUGGCUUGAUUAAGGCUUUAACAGCUGGUAAUGGCCUAAUAUUUUCUUCUCUUUUUCUUUGAAUUUAAUUAAUGGGUUUGUUCUAUUUUAGCUUAUGAUUAUUAGGUUUUUUUUUUAAUUUUAUUUUUAAUUUUAAUUUUCUGGGUUGUUGCAGAUGUUGAGAAGUUCUACCAGCAGUGCGAUCCUGGUGGGUUUUUCUUUUCCAUACAUCUUUUUUGUUUAUUUAAUUGCAAUUGGACUUUGUUUUUUCCUUCUUCUUUUUUCUAUAUUUUUUGUAUUAUAUUGACUGAAUGACCAGGUAUUUAAUAAUCAGUAUGUGUUAUUUAUAGCUCUGUUUCAUGUAUAAGAGAGGCAAAUUAUGUUAUAGAAGCCAACUCGUUUAUUUUUUCAGUUGGAAGAAUUUUAAUGGAGACAAUGUCUGUGAUAUGAAUUAACUAAGUUCAUGCUUGUCUGAGUGUUUUGAGAUUGUACAAAGUCCAUGAUUUGUCUUUAAUUCAAGAUGAAAUGCUUGUUUUAAGGUAGUUUUGCUUGUCGUAGCACUCGGAGGCUUACAUUUUUUUUUUUUGAUCACUUACACGGUUAGUUUCUGUUUUAUUCAUAAAUUUCUGUGCUUCCUCACUUGCGUCGUCAUUAACUCCUUCCAUGAUGUUUUCUUCUGUAAACGCACUUAUGUUUGCCUUUCACUAGUUUGAAGGACAUUUUUCAUUGAAAGAUCCAAAUGAAUUGAAAUUGCUGCUAUAAUGUAUUUGCUUUGCUGCUGAAGCAGGUCUGUGUAAAUAAACUAGAAAAGUCUUAAAGUGUUGUUGUACCCAUAUACUUCAGUCCAGCUGGCUUCCUAGCUGCAGAAAAUCUCAAGCUUUUUCAUUCUUGACUGUCAGGUUCUUGUGUUUAUUAUAUUGGUUGGAAGCAGAUGGUUAGUUCAGUGUGAAUUCUUGGCAUUUGGUUACGUGGAAGUUCUGGACAUUUGUUGAUGAUUUAUUUGUUUGCAUGAUCGAUUUUCAAAAUAAUUCAUUUGGCUGCAUAAUUGUUGAAAAAUCCAAAAUUCUAGUGGUAUUUAUUUAUUUAUUUUUGGAUUGAUGCAGCUAUGUUUGUUGGAAGUGUGUUGUUAUCUUCUGUUGAGUCCUUGGCAUUUAUGUUUUAUGUAGUCAUCCAUAUUUUUUUCUUGAGUUAUGUGGUAUCUGUUAUCAUAUUAAUUUUGAUUGUCUUUUUCUCAAGUCAUUUUGUAUAAAUUUUAUUGUUUCUUUUAGUAGGCAUCGAUAUUUUCACUUUAGCCUUCCUACUUUCAUAUAUCUGCUGGAGUGGAAAGAUUGAAAGAUUAGUUUGGUUCACUUUUACAAUGAGCCACAUGUUAUUACAACACUGCAUCAUUUCAACCAAAUAGGGAAACUGCAACACAAGAAGAAUGCCCAUUGGAAAAUAGGGAUCGUGCAGCUGCCUGAUAGCAGAAAAUUCCUGAAUUCUUGGUGAUAGUGAUUAUUUAUGUUGGACUCCUGCUCUUAUGUCUGUGGAUCCGCCCAGUAUUUUCAGUUUGAUCCUUCAAUCUAAUUUCCUUAUGGUUGUAUGUUUAUUGACUUAUAUUCUGUCAUGGUAUUAUGGUUUGAUAUCCUUUUCUUAUCAGGCGAGUUGGCUAACAUGAAGUUCACUUUACUAUUUUCGUCAAUGUUUAUUGGAGUGCAAAGCUUCACCAUAUAGUGUGGUUUGUGACUGUUGUGUUGUCUAAUGUGUUGCCUUAUCUUCUUAUUGACUUGUUUGUAAAAAAUUAGAACUCUAAUUCUAAUUGUCAUUAUGUUUGGCUGCUAUACUCUAUGUCCAUGGUCAAAUGUCGUCCCUUUUUUGUUUGUUUUUAUGGUUUAUGUCCAAAUGUUGCUAGAGCAGUUGAUGUCAAUAAAAGAGUAUCUUCCUGGACUAACAGUCUCCUUCUGCAUUCUUAAUGUUUUAUGAAACCAAGUACUUUUUUGUGCUUUUAGUUAUUGGUAUGAUAAAAUGAGAUCUGAUUAUAUGAACAAUUCAAGGCAGAUUGCACAUUUUUAUUUAAAAUACUAGUAUUGUGCAUACAGAAAAAGAGAACUUGUGCCUAUACGGGCUUCCUAAUGAGACAUGGGAAGUUAACCUGCCUGUUGAGGAAGUGCCUCCCGAGCUCCCUGAACCAGCGUUAGGUAUAAACUUUGCUAGAGAUGGAAUGCAGGAGAAGGACUGGUUAUCACUGGUUGCAGUGCACAGUGAUUCAUGGUUGCUUGCUGUAGCUUUUUAUUUUGGUGCACGCUUUGGAUUUGGCAAAAAUGAAAGGUAUUUUCUCUUUCUUGCCCGUUUACUUGCAUUUGCUGUAAUCUCCAGAGCUUUAGCAUUAGUAUCUGCAUUUUUGGUAUCAUAUUGUUAGUUCUUAGUCCUGUCUCAUAGUUCUGCCACUGCUUUUCAACAUUACAAGAUGAUAAAGGGGAUAUGCAUAGAUAUAUCAUUAAAUUUUAUGGUUGAGAUUGUUUCAAUUGAAAGAUCAAGGCAGUAAGUCCAGGGGAGAGUAAAAAUAUAUGUUUGAUUAUUUCACUUAUUUUUGUAAGAAUAUAUGUUUGAUCAUUCCACAUAUUUAUCUUUUAUAAUGCUAAUUGGUGAUGAUUUGUCUUCUCUCAUAUUUGUAUUUAUAACUAUUUAUUGGUAACUUGAUCUACCAAUAUUAAGUUUAACAAGUCCAAUAAUGUUGUCUUGACAAUAAUUUAUGAUUGGUUAUUCUGUGGUCAACAAUUUAAGGUCAAGGCUUUUGUUUUAUACAUUCUGGACCAUUUUUUGCUGCUAGAGCUCGUCUGUCGUCUUGUAAAAUUCGGUUUGAACCACCUUGGUUACUAUGUUUCAUUCAUCUCAUUCAUGCUACAAAGUCAUAUGAUCAACUGUAUGACAUAUGAUGUUUGACAACCUAUGCAUUCAAGUUGUCAUUAACGAAAGGAAGUUUAUGGUCUCCGACAAAGUCUUGACUCAUUCAGCCGGUUGACACUGCUCAAUGGAAUGUUAAUAAUCUAAUUGGGUAUCAUAGAUUUCUUGAACAAAAGACAUAGUAGGAGUAACUGAACAAUAUACUAUGGAACUAUUGUUGAAGUUAUACAUGAUAUGGAAAACCUGCGAUGCUAUGCUUGACCAGGAAGUUUAAUAAAGUCAAGAUGAAUGUCUGGUUCUAAUUUUUCUUGGAAUUGGAUCUUGCAGGAAGAAACUUUUCCAGAUGAUAAAUGAUCUCCCGACCAUCUUUGAAGUUGUAACAGGAAAUGCUAAGCAACCAAAGGACCCUUAUUUGUUGAAUCCAUUCUCCGGUUCCCGGAUUCUGCGGAACUUUUCCGGACGUUGUGGGUCGUCAUGGCGAUGGCUACAACGUAAUUUGAAGUUGAUCACGAAGAUAUAAAUGGCUGUAGCACCGACGCGUUUCACGACAAUCAAGGAAAUCAAAGAUUGUUUCUUCCAUAAGUCCAUUCUGUCGGGGAGUCCCUACUUUCAGGAUAAUGACAAUGUAGUUGUAGCCAUCUACAAUGAUAGAUCAAAGUGGUUCAAUAUUUCAAGGCCAAGAACAUUAUUGUUACUGCUAUGGCGAUGUUAUUUGAGUAUCUCAAAAUGGUGCUAGUACUGUUUAUGCAUUAUCACUAAGUCCCGGUACAGGAUGGUCCAUUUGAAGAAUGGGAUUUCAAGAAAUUACAGAAUGAUUAUAAUGCUCCUCCUGUAAAAAUAAUGGGUUUGAAUUUGAAGCCAUCAUUUCCAAACUCAUGGGAUGUAGAUACCAAGCCAUGUCAUGUGGCUGUAAACUCAUACUUGGUAGAAUCUAAGUCGUAGGAUGUUUGUUUUUAUGGUUUAUGUCCAAAUGUUGCUAGGGCAGUUGAUGUCAAUAAAAGAGUAUCUUCCUGGACUAACAGUCUCCUUCUGCAUUCUUAAUGUUUUAUGAAACCAAGUACUUUUUUGUGCUUUUAGUUAUUGGUAUGAUAAAAUGAGAUCUGAUUAUAUGAACAAUUCAAGGCAGAUUGCACAUUUUUAUUUAAAAUACUAGUAUUGUGCAUACAGAAAAAGAGAACUUGUGCCUAUACGGGCUUCCUAAUGAGACAUGGGAAGUUAACCUGCCUGUUGAGGAAGUGCCUCCCGAGCUCCCUGAACCAGCGUUAGGUAUAAACUUUGCUAGAGAUGGAAUGCAGGAGAAGGACUGGUUAUCACUGGUUGCAGUGCACAGUGAUUCAUGGUUGCUUGCUGUAGCUUUUUAUUUUGGUGCACGCUUUGGAUUUGGCAAAAAUGAAAGGUAUUUUCUCUUUCAUGCCCAUUUACCUGCAUUUGCUGUAAUCUCCAGAGCCUUAGCAUUAGUAUCUGCUUUUUGGUAUCAUAUUGUUAGUUCUUAGUCCUGUCUCAUAGUUCUGCCACUGCUUUUCAACAUUACAAGAUGAUAAAGGGGAUAUGCAUAGAUAUAUCAUUAAAUUUUAUGGUUGAGAUUGUUUCAAUUGAAAGAUCAAGGCAGUAAGUCCAGGGGAGAGUAAAAAUAUAUGUUUGAUUAUUUCACUUAUUUUUGUAAGAAUAUAUGUUUGAUCAUUCCACAUAUUUAUCUUUUAUAAUGCUAAUUGGUGAUGAUUUGUCUUCUCUCAUAUUUGUAUUUAUAACUAUUUAUUGGUAACUUGAUCUACCAAUAUUAAGUUUAACAAG